CUGUUGUUAAGUUUAGACGUCUUGAGAAAUUGACAUUUAAAAGUGUAAUGUACAGUACAUCGAAGAGGGUUGGGAAUCUCUGAGGUGGAUUGAGGUGAACCUCGAUGGAUUUUCUGUUUCGGAAAACAUUGCAAAAAAGAGUCAGCGAGACGAACUACCACCAUAACCUCAACCACAGCAACAAUCAGCAGGGCUUCCACUGAGGGCCACGCUUCUCUGCUGCAGUGACCCACUCUUAGAGACACUCUUCCCCUGCUCUGCAAUGAAUCAACCCACCAAGGCGCAAACCAUGACAGUUACAGACGAGACCACCAGCUUGAAGACGGUGCUCCUGCUGUUCUUCUGCCUCCUCUUCCUCGUCUUGCUCCUCCUCUUCCUCUACAAGAAGCUCAACAAGCAGACGGACGGCGAGUACACCGUCAGCAACAUGGUGCUGGGGGAAGGGGGUCUGCGGG
ensembl:lncRNA